rnacentral:lncRNA from 15 species
AUGGUUCCACUGAGGCUGGUCGCCUUCGGCUAUGUUGGCAGUAAGAUAAAGCUGGAACACAUCCUGUAUAAGGUUGGAGUGGGGACGAGGUGUGGGGAGGGGAAACGCUACCCAGACGACGGACCCGACACCUUCUGCUCCUUCCCCUGGGCGGAGAUGGUGGUGGAGGAUCUCUGUGGUAACAGGAGGUCCUGUGAGGUCCCGGUCACUGAGCGGGUGUUUGGGGAAUAUCCCUGUAAGGAGGAGACCAGGUACCUGGAGGUGUCCUACACCUGCGCCACGCCACCACCUCCACCUCCACCUCCACCAGCGCCAACCAAACCUGACUGUGAAGAAAAAUCAGCCGAUAAAGUCUGAUGCAUUCAAAACUUUAUUGUUCAUCACUGUGGACAGAGCGACUCAUCAGACUGAUCAGAGUUCAGAUCUUCCGUUGUCACAUCUGUCUGUUCUUCGUUGUAUUCAGUUUCUGAGUGUUUGAAUUCAUGUUUCUAAAUGCCUAAAAAAACAUGUGUGAGCUUAUUUACUCAAGAAGGAUUUAA